UAAAAUCAAUGAAAAGUACUUUAAAAAAUUGUAAAUUUCAUAUGUUGUGGUUACACUGAUCUUUUCUUUGAACAUUUCUGCUGUGAAAUUCUUUUUUUUAAUACAAUGAUUUAAUACCUGCAUUUGGAGACUUAAACUUCUUACAGAUGCUAAUUAAUUAAUUAGGCAAAUAGGUUUGAGGGUAGUUAUGAAGUAGUAAUUUCAGUUUGUGCUCUUCCAGUAACUCAGCAUGACUUUCACUCUCAUUUCUAGCAGAUAUUACAGUGAGAGAUGAGCAUUUCAGUUUGCAGCUGACAGUUUAGGGUUAAGAUAUGAUUCCAGGUAACAGAAGCCAAUGAGAGUACACCCAGUUGAUGUUUGUGACAUCAUCUUCCAGUCGGAGUACAUAGAACAGCUGAGGUAGCGUUCAGUUUCAGCCCCAGUGCCAUUAUGAUGGAUGUUUACAUCUCUUCAUUGAGAGCCAAUUAUCUCGCUUUUGUGUGAGGCCCAAGGAUCACUCAUGCUGCCUGGCUGCACAGAGCACUGUUGGAUCUAGCUGAACGAAUUGUUUUCUGUCUCUGAGAUAUGAAUAUGGGGAAGAAGCUGAACCAACUGAAGCAGUAGUCUUGGUCUGCUCAACAAGCCUGAUGAAAGAAAAGGUUUUAAUAGGGAUCGAACUUGGGUCCUUGCGCUUGCGCAGCAGGUGGCGAAACCACUGAGCUAAAUCCCCGGCCCCAAAGCAUAAUCUUUUGAAGUCACUGUAGAAUGAAAAGAAGUAAUCUUUUCAAAUGAUUUUAACACAUAGCACAGGAAAAUUGUUCUGGAAUUUACCAGCAACCAUCAAGACCAAGGUGAUACAACUGUGAAACCUAGCAUCGCUGGGGGAGAUUAGCUGUUCCACUCCUUGAAACCCAGCAAGGCUGUCACCUAUCAAAGGCUGCACCUUGGGAUUCCUUGCAAUAAAUAUCUGAAGAAGAAUCUAAUGCACCAUUAACGUCAAAGUGUCUCCCAGACUACAGUAUUGGCUUUUCCUUAAACACUUUAAGCACCAACCACUUGGCUUCUUUCCAGAUUCUUAGUUUCUUAUUGAGUCAGUGCUGAACCUGUAUCAUCGAAAUGUAGCACUUUGAAAACAGGCUUGUUAUAAGCGGCUUAUAGAAGAAAUUUUUUCCACAAAAUGUCAUUUCCUUUUCUAAAACAUGUUUAAUUCAUGUUGACCAGUACAGGCCUCAGCCAUGCAAAAUUUCUAAUAUUAUACCCCAUAUGAUACAUCAAAGCAAAUAAAUGUAGAUAUAAAAAUCUAAAAUAGAGUAAUUUAGAAUCUUCAGUCUUCACCUAUAUUAUUGAGUCCCUAUCCACUGCAGCAAAUGACAACUCUUUAGUUUACAGUUUAUUAAAACUUCACCUAAGAUUUAACAUUUAAUAUUACAGAUAUUGCUCUGAACUGAUUGCUGUACAGGAUUAGAAAAUGUUUCACUUUCAGUGAUGUAACAUCAAAUGCCAUUCAACAAGGACCAGUCAUAGCCUUUAUGUAUGAGCAAAUGAUGACAUUUCAAGAGAAAUCCUACCCUUCUCAUCUGUGAAGUUCGUUUUCAUCUUUUACCUAGCUAUUGAUUAUUUCAUUCGCUUUCCUCCUAAACACCCAUAGGUGUGUGCACAAAAGUGCACUGAUUCAACACCAGAAACCUGGGGACCACUCUAUUUGGCAUUCCUUAUCACUGCAGUAAAAAAUCAAAAAGAAAACUAUAUGUUAAGUAUUUAUGUUAAACUUUAUCCAUGUUUUAUUUAGUUCAUGACAGCCUACACCUUUAGCUGUAAUUUUCCUCACAUUGAUAUGAAAACAAAGAAAAAAAGCUACCCCCUUCAAGUUCCUCAAGAAUAGAAAAAAUAAAUAAUCCAACAAUAGAUAGUAAAUAACAGAGUCAGGACUGAAACCAAGACAUGCUGCCCUGAGAUCCUAUGAAUUUAAGUUUUCUGUUACGCAUGCUGCUUUUCUUUCCAAAGCUGAUCCCAUUUGAAGUGAUACAACUUCUGUUUGUGCAGCAAUAUUUGAAUCUUUUUUGUGAAUUAUGUCAAUCACCAGUGAAAGAAUAAGAUAAAAUACUGCUUUGUAAAAUAAAAGAAUAGCAAAUUGCUUUACCUCUUUAAGCUUCAAUUUUCUGAUUUCUAAUAUUUUUGUUAGAGAAUUGUAUUUGGUAUUAAAUAAUAUAAAUCACAUUUUAGAUAUUUUAACUGUAAAUUCCUGUGCAAAUACAAAUAAUACUAUUAUUAUGCUCCCCAAGUAAAAAAUUAAAAUACAAAUGUAUAUAUGAGUUACACCAAAUCUCAUAGAAUAUCAAAUGAAAGAGACAUAAAUACCCUUUAAAUCACUUACCACAUGUUCAGUGGAUAGCAAAUUCAAAGCUUCUGAUUUUUUUCAGUUACUUUUAGUAAUACAAAGGCAUUAUUUAUUAGCAUUUAUAUUACAAUUAUUACGUAUUUGAUUUAUGCAAUUAUGUUCUUCUUUGGUUAAUUAAACACUGUGCAUGGUAACUCAAUACCCUUCUAAAUGUUACAUAGGUGUUAAAUUGGCAUCUGUUUAAGAAGACAGAACAAAACCCAUUGUUAGGUGCGCAGACAUUAAACCAGGAAUUCACAAAAAAAAACAGAAUAAGUUUAACAGACCUUACCUAAGGAUAAAUUAUCUCUUUUGGCUUAAAACUUGCUUUUGCCCAGAAACAUUUCUCUUUUUAAAUGUGUGGAAAAUAGCAUCUCUGGCACUUCUUAAACAAAUAUUUUGCUAAAGGAUAUGCUUUAGAAAGCUUCUAUUAGUUGGCAAAAGUAGUUUAUUAUCUUCAAAGUUUUCUAAUACAUUAUAUCUGAUUAUCAAAAACUUUGAAGAUAUUAAAACUUUAGGCAUAAAUUUUUAGGUAAAUUUCCUUUUUAGUUUGACCAAGCUUUUGUACCACCUUGUCUAUAGGAGACAUCUGUCAGGGAUCCCCAUAGUGGUGACCCUGAUAAAAAUGCAGUGAGGGAGGGGGUGUCCUGUUCAUAACACAAUGGAAAUCACCUUUCCUAUUUGCCACAUAAAUUAGGGAGAAAAUGAAAUGUUGGAAGUAGAUAUUUAUCUUUUAAGGGUCAAAUCUCUGGAGAUACCUUGUUAUACAUCUGAGGGAAGAAAUUAUUCAAAAUUUUUUGUUUUAUUUUGUAAAUGGAAGAAGUGAAUUCCUUUGUGUUGUUUAGAACAUUUCCUUUUGGAGUACUCCUAUGUAAAUAAAUGAAAGCACACAUUAUUGUUGUUUUCCUUUUUUUUGAGGAGAGUAGCAGUACCUUGGCAUCAUCAGCUUUUGUGUUGUGAUUUUCUACUUCAUAAUGAGAUCAGCUUAUUCGGGGCUCAUUUUUUCCCCCAAAGAUGACUAGUUGAACUGAAAUUCAUUUAUACAAACAUUAUAAUUUAAGUGCCAAUAAUGGCUCUGAGUUAAAGAAUGAAUGAAAUCAGAAAGGUCAAAAUCUAUUUGACUUCCUUUAAAUAUUUGAUAGCUUGUUUACUUAAAUUUAUUUUAUUUGAAAUGCCAAGACAUUUGCCCUUUUCGUGUAGAUUGUAGAACUCUUCAUUAGUUUUUUUCUGGCAUCUGUUCAUUUCAAAACAUUAAACAUUGCCCAGUACAUCUAUGUGUUUCUAAGGGUUAAUUGAGAGGUAGUGUCUAACUUCAGAGCACACAGUGUGAUACAUGGAAACAGCCACUUAGAACAACUAAUAACCAAAAGUGCUUUUCCAUCCAUUCAAUACAUGUUUAAGUAUGCAUCAUGUACCAGUCAAGCUUCUAGAAUGGAGGGAUACUUUAGAAAAUAAAAUCUACCAAGUCCCUAACUUUACAAGCAGCUUUCAUCUUAAUGUUGAGCAAUUCAAAUGUUUCUGAUUCUGAUUGGUUAGAUUAAUAUCAUCUCUUCCCAUGGAAAUUUGCAAGGUCAUUGAUGAAGGAAAAUGGUGGUGACGUUUGAUAGACAUUAUCUCCUCCUUGCAAAAAGAUGAUUAUUUUGUGUUGGUACUAUUGAAAGAUCACCUAUAUAAAUAACAGUUUGCUUUUAAAUAUUGUGUAUUGCAACAAGUUAUAUAUAACCUUAUAUUUUGCUUAUAAGGCAAAAUAUUGUUUUGUAAGAUACAAACACAAUUCUCAUCUAUUGCUGUAACCAGGAAACUUCUCAUGACUUCCUAACAGCAGCAUAUGUAUUGUUUUUUAAAAAAUCUCUUUUAUGAUGUCCACUUUGUCUUUCACUUUAUAUAAUUAUGUGCUUCAUUGUAUCAUUACUAGAUUGAAAGUUACUUAUAGGAAAGAAAUCAUGUUAACAGUAAUCAUUUCAUUAUGUUUGGGACCUAACACAAGACAUGGCUUAUACUGCCUAAAUAUUUCCUGUAUUAACUUGAAUAACUUACUGUAAAUUAGGAAAUUAAACAAAGACCACAGAUAAAUAAAUAAUAUUCUGUGUGUGUCCAAUGCUCAGUUUGAAUUUCAGCAUAAAUUGGAAAGGCAUGUUUUCAUCCAUAUACAUAUCUUAAUAUUUCUCAUAUCAUCACUAUAUAUUAGAGAACUAUAGUUUUCUGGUUGCUAUCACUGAACUAUAUUCCUCAAGAGCAAAGAGAGAAGAGUAGGUUUAAAAUGUUAUUUAUUAUAUUAAUAUAAAUAGUAAACUUUAUGCAACACUCAUGAAAUUCAUAUGUAAAGAAAUAUGCAUUUCUGGAGUCAUUUACAUUGUUCCAAGGCUAUAUUUUCAGGGAUCAUUUCUAUAGUUCAUUACAUUGUUGCAUUUUUGUGAACACAGGUCUCUAUUAUAUCAUUAUUGGAGGAGAAAAUAACUAUAACACAAUUAGUAUUUACAUUUGUAAUAUUAUCUCUCUUACUUUCCAACUUCUAUGAUCAUUAAUAUGUGGGUUGCUCAUUAAUUUAUAGAUAAUAGCAGUUAUAGUAUAUGAAGAAAAAUUAGGAAAAGCAUCAAGCUAAUUAUUUUCUCUUUUAAAAUCUGCAUACAUUUCUUGAUCCUUCCAGACAGAACAAGCCAGAAGUUCACAUUUUCUUAACAAUGGCUUUGAUAACGCCUAAUAACUUUCACUGGCUAGCAGAGUCUACUUCCCCUGAG
ensembl:lncRNA